rnacentral:tRNA from 1 species
AACAUUGAAGUAACAUUACUUUUAGUUUCGACCUAAUUUUAGGGUAUAAUCCCCUUGUUA